CGGGCUGUAGCGCAGCAGGUUAGCGCACUAGUCUGGGGGACUAGGGGUCGCCAGUUCAAAUCUGGCCAGCCCGA
rnacentral:tRNA from 1 species